GAUGAACGCUAGCGGCAGGCUUAACACAUGCAAGUCGAGGGGUAUAGGUUUUCGGACCUAGAGACCGGCGCACGGGUGCGUAACGCGUAUGCAAUCUACCUUUCACAGAGGGAUAGCCCAGAGAAAUUUGGAUUAAUACCUCAUAGUAUAGCAGUUUCGCAUGAAACCACUAUUAAAGUAUCAACGGUGAAAGAUGAGCAUGCGUCCCAUUAGCUAGAUGGUAAGGUAACGGCUUACCAUGGCUACGAUGGGUAGGGGUCCUGAGAGGGAGAGCACCACACUGGUACUGAGACACGGACCAGACUCCUACGGGAGGCAGCAGUGAGGAAUAUUGGUCAAUGGACGCAAGUCUGAACCAGCCAUGCCGCGUGCAGGAUGACGGUCCUAUGGAUUGUAAACUGCUUUUGUACGAGAAGAAACAACAUUACGUGUAAUGUCUUGACGGUAUCGUAAGAAUAAGGAUCGGCUAACUCCGUGCCAGCAGCCGCCGUAACAC
rnacentral:rRNA from 1 species